GACAGAGGGGGCAAGCGUUGCUCGGAAUCACUGGGCGUAAAGGGUGCGUAGGCGGGUCUUUAAGUCAGGGGUGAAAUCCUGGAGCUCAACUCCAGAACUGCCUUUGAUACUGAGGAUCUUGAGUUCGGGAGAGGUGAGUGGAACUGCGAGUGUAGAGGUGAAAUUCGCAGAUAUUCGCAAGAACACCAGUGGCGAAGGCGGCUCACUGGCCCGAUACUGACGCUGAGGCACGAAAGCGUGGGGAGCAAACAGG
rnacentral:rRNA from 1 species